rnacentral:lncRNA from 1 species
UGAUUUGUUUAAGAACUAAUUGCAUUCAAUAAUUUAUUCAAGGAUUAAUUACAUUUCAAUCAAUAGUUUAGGUGACCAUGUUUAUAAACAUAUUCUCGUAUGAAAAAAAAGAUAUAAUUUUUAUAUUGAAAGGAAAUGGCUAACCGACCAUUUUUAUAUAAUUUUUAUAAUCAACCUUUGUACCCUUCCUCUCUAAACCCACAGAUCUUCGUACCAUCCACUCCCAGAAGAUCUACCUUGCCGAGGAAAUAAGCACUUGCUAGACCUCUUAAAGAACCUGGUUAAUUGACUACGCUGAAGAAAUGGAAGAAGACAGUUUUUUACCAAGAGCAGCUUGUUACUCCUCCUGCCACACAUCUUGUAGAUGCCAGCAUCAAAUCCAGGAGGAGGGGGCCAGGUAGAAUCUUGGAUAUAAAAUUCAGAAAAUGAUUGUUAUUGAUGAAACAUCUGGGACUGCAAUUCGAAGCCUCAUUAGCUAUGAGCAAUGCAGAACUGGUUGCAGUCCUGCAAUCACUUCAUAUGCCGUACUCCUAGACAUCCUCAUUAACACUAACAAGGACUUGGUUAAUCUGAUGCAUAUCAGUUGCUUCUGUUCUACAAUCAGCAACGAAACAUACAUAGUCCUCUUUGGCAGGAAAGAUACUGAAUCUAAGCACAGCAAUACAGUUUUUCAGUUACAUAAGCACUCUCACAUUAAAAAAACUACAGCCUACAGUUCGAUGCAACAAAUGCUAACUGCUUAUAAUCAUACAUAAUGCAAGUAACAAGAGUAAAAUCAAGCAAUGCUAGCCGCUAACCAUUUACAAAGCUGAAGCUCAGCCUGCGCCUGACUAAAUAGUGCGAAAAAGUGCGAAACAUCCCAUUACUUAUCAACUCCAGAUCAAUAAUAACCCAAUAAUCACACCAGAACUUCCACAACCCAUCCAUUUGCAUCGCAGCAAAUCAGCUUGCGCACGACAACAAUAACACACAAAAUCCCAUUACCUCAUCAUCCCGUCCACAACAUCCAAUUACCUAAUCAUCCCCAAAACUACAACACCCCACCAAUUACCUCAAAACUUCCAUGAUUUGCAUCGCCAAAAAUCAACUUGAGCAUAACGAGAUGACGAAAUGAGAGGAGACACACAAUUACUUAUCAACUUGAUAUCCAAAUAACCACACCAAGAUUUCAUAAUCUCUCAGCACAAAUCACAAUAAAACGCAAAAUCAAACCAGGAUUGUAUUGUCAAACCAAAUGACCCAAACCGAGAUGUCAUAACCAUAUCGAAACAAUGUGGUUUCACUACUAUCUAACCCACAAACAAAACCCGACAAAAAAAA